UGAGAGAACACUCUCAGAAAGCCAAAGGCAAGGAAACCUGGCUAAAGGCCAUACCUCCUGUCUCACUGCCUUGAAGGCCAGUGAGGAACGCAUAGUUUGGUGGCGAUAGCGAAGAGGUCACACCCGUUCCCAUGCCGAACACGGAAGUUAAGCUCUUCAGCGCCGAUGGUAGUUGGGGGCUUCCCCCUGUGAGAGUAGGACGCCGCCAAGCUGAUUU
rnacentral:precursor_RNA from 1 species